GCCUGGGUGGCUCAGUGGUUGAGCAUCUGCCUUUGGCUCAGGACAUGAACCCGGGGUCCUGGGAUCAAGUCCCAUUCAGGUU
rnacentral:tRNA from 1 species